UAGCGGUGAAAUUCCAAUCGAGCCCGGAGAUAGCUGGUUCUCCCCGAAAUAGCUUUAGGGCUAGCCUCAAGGUGAGAGAUACGGAGGUAGAGCACUGAAUGUCCUAGGGGGUAUUGCACCUACCGAAGACUAUCAAACUCCGAAUGCCGUCAUCUUAUACUUGGGAGUCAGACUGUGGGUGAUAAGAUUCAUAGUCGAAAGGGCAACAGCCCAGAUCGUCAGCUAAGGUCCCUAAAUGUAAGUUAAGUGGUAAAGGAUGUGGGAUUGCACAGACAACCAGGAUGUUGGCUUAGAAGCAGCCACUCAUUCAAAGAGUGCGUAAUAGCUCACUGGUCGAGUGAUCCUGCGCCGAAGAUUUCCGGGGCUAAAACUUACUACCGAAGCUACGGCAUCAGUAAUGAUGGGUAGGGGAGCUUCCCAUACGGGUUGAAGCGUGACCGUAAGGACAUGUGGACAGUAUGGGAGUGAGAAUGUUGGCAUGAGUAGCGAGAUGUGGGUGAGAAUCCCACAGGCCGUAAACCCAAGGUUUCCAGGGGAAGGUUCGUCCGCCCUGGGUUAGUCGGGACCUAAGCUGAGGCCGAAAGGCGUAGGUGAUGGACAACAGGUUGAUAUUCCUGUACUACCGAUAACCGUUUGAGAGAAGGGAUGACACAGUAGGAUAAGCUAAGCACACUGUUGGUUAUGUGUGCCCAAGCAUUGAGGCAGUCAAAGUAGGCAAAUCCGCUUUGAUAAUGCUGGGAUGUGAUGGGGAGCGAAAUUUAGUAGCGAAGUAGCUGAUUUCACACUGUCAAGAAAAGUCUCUAUCGAGGUUAAAGGUACCCGUACCGCAAACCGACACAGGUGGGUGAGGAGAGUAUCCUAAGGCCAGCGAGAGAACUGUUGUUAAGGAACUCGGCAAAAUGACCCCGUAACUUAGGGAUAAGGGGUGCCACCAUCAGGUGGCCGCAGAGAAUAGGCCCAAGCGACUGUUUACCAAAAACAUAGGUUUCUGCUAAGUCGCAAGACGAUGUAUAGGAGCUGACGCCUGCCCGGUGCUGGAAGGUUAAGGGGAUCUGUUAGAGCAAUCGAAGCAGUGAACUUAAGCCCCAGUAAACGGCGGCCGUAACUAUAACGGUCCUAAGGUAGCGAAAUUCCUUGUCGGGUAAGUUCCGACCCGCACGAAAGGCGUAACGAUUUGGGCACUGUCUCAACAACAGACUCGGUGAAAUUGUAAUUCCGGUGAAGAUGCCGGAUACCUGCGACAGGACGGAAAGACCCCAUGGAGCUUUACUGUAGCUUGACAUUGGGUCUUGGUACUACAUGUACAGGAUAGGUGGGAGGCUUUGAAACCAGGACGCCAGUUUUGGCGGAGCCAUCCUUGGGAUACCACCCUUGUAGUACUGGGACUCUAACCAUAGGCCAUGAAUCUGGUCUUGGGACACUGUCAGGUGGGCAGUUUGACUGGGGCGGUCGCCUCCCAAAAGGUAACGGAGGCGCUCAAAGGUUCUCUCAGUACGGUCGGAAAUCGUACGUAGAGUGUAAAGGCAAAAGAGAGCUUGAUUGCAAGACAUACAGGUCGAGCAAGGAUGAAAAUCGGACUUAGUGAUCCGGUGGUUCUGCGUGGAAGGGCCAUCGCUCAACGGAUAAAAGCUACCCUGGGGAUAACAGGCUUAUCUCCCCCAAGAGUCCACAUCGACGGGGAGGUUUGGCACCUCGAUGUCGGCUCAUCACAUCCUGGGGCUGUAGUAGGUCCCAAGGGUUGGGCUGUUCGCCCAUUAAAGUGGUACGCGAGCUGGGUUCAGAACGUCGUG
rnacentral:rRNA from 1 species